rnacentral:rRNA from 1 species
AGAAUCAACGCUGGCGGCGUGCCUAACACAUGCAAGUCGAACGAGAAAGUGGAGCAAUCCAUAAGUAAAGUGGCGCACGGGUGAGUAACACGUGACUAACCUACCCUUGAGUGGGGGAUAACCUAGGGAAACCUGGGCUAAUACCGCAUAAUACCUUCGGGUCAAAGGAGCAAUUCGCUUAAGGAGGGGGUCGCGGCCGAUUAGUUAGUUGGCGGGGUAAUGGCCCACCAAGACUAUGAUCGGUAUCCGGCCUGAGAGGGCGCACGGACACACUGGAACUGAAACACGGUCCAGACUCCUACGGGAGGCAGCAGUGGGGAAUUUUGCGCAAUGGGGGAAACCCUGACGCAGCAACGCCGCGUGGAGGAUGAAGUCCCUUGGGACGUAAACUCCUUUCGAUCGGGACGAUUAUGACGGUACCGAGAGAAGAAGCCCCGGCUAACUUCGCGCCAGCAGCCGC